AUCUACCAAGAAGCAAAUUCUCAUUCCCUAACAAAACAUAACAAGUUAAACACAGCAAUCAUUCCUCCAAAUUAUCUCACUCUCUGGUCUCUGUAUCCUUUGAGGUUAGAAAUCUUUUUUAAAGGGUGCUUCUUAUUGUUUGUUAUACUUUUAUCCACCCUCAUGUUUUCCUAGGAUAUAACAAGUAAAUUUUCCAAGAAAUAAGUUUCAAAGAAAAAUGGAACACCUAAACAGAAUUUUCAAAGUUUGAUAUGUGGUACAAAGGGAUUAAUUUCUGAGCAUCUCACCAAAAACAUUCCCUCAAGUGCAGCUAAGCCGUAUUAGUUCAGGAUUAAUGCUAGGUUCAGCUGUCAGUUUUCACAGUAUGUUAAUUUAAAACCAUCAUCAAAGACAGUCCUUGUUAAUCUAGAUCAACAUAAAAGAUCACAACUGUGCAAAAAAUCCAGCAAACGAUUCAACACGCUCCCCCUUAACAGUUCAUAACAAAUCAUAGGACAUCUUAAACAGCACCACACCCCGCACACAAGGUCGCUUAAUGAUCUGAUAAAAUGACUGAUAGCUGAUCUAAUCAAAUUAAAGUUUUAUCAUUUCCAUGAUCAUUAAAUACAACUGUAGUCAUAUCAACAGAAAUCAUUUGGAAUUAGGGCAAGUUAUCAACAAGGCAAACCAUGUCACUGGAAUGGGAGAAAAAAAUCCAUAAAAGCACCAGGUACUUGUUUGCACUUUAAUAUUCCUUUUAACUCAGCAUAAUGAGGCUUUAUUUUACUACAACACGAUGCAUCAAUCAUUUCCAAAGUUAUGCUGUUGUUUUCUCCGUCCACCUCAAAGC